rnacentral:rRNA from 1 species
GAUGAACGCUGGCGGCGUGCCUAAUACAUGCAAGUCGAGCGAACGGACGAGAAGCUUGCUUCUCUGAUGUUAGCGGCGGACGGGUGAGUAACACGUGGAUAACCUACCUAUAAGACUGGGAUAACUUCGGGAAACCGGAGCUAAUACCGGAUAAUAUUUUGAACCGCAUGGUUCAAAAGUGAAAGACGGUCUUGCUGUCACUUAUAGAUGGAUCCGCGCUGCAUUAGCUAGUUGGUAAGGUAACGGCUUACCAAGGCAACGAUGCAUAGCCGACCUGAGAGGGUGGUCGGCCACACUGGCACUGAGACACGGUCCAGACUCCUACGGGAGGCAGCAGUAGGGAAUCUUCCGCAAUGGGCGAAAGCCUGACGGUGCAACGCCGCGUGAGUGAUGAUGGUCUUCGGAUCGUAAAACUCUGUUAUUAGGGAAGAACAUAUGUGUAAGUAACUGUGCACAUCUUGACGGUACCUAAUCAGAAAGCCACGGCUAACUACGUG